rnacentral:lncRNA from 1 species
AGCAGAUCCAGUCAGGAAGUGUUCUUGAUUCUUCUGGAACAAGAUCUACUUUUCUGUCAUGAUAUUGGAAACAAAGCGUGUCCAGUUCUGCUGGAGCUGUCUGCCCCAGACAGUGUUGAUGAGGAGAGCAGAAGCUGUGAGCUGAACCUGACAAGUAGUGACUGCAAGAACCCGUUGGGCCUGUCCUGUAUGCUGGCGUGUGCAGGACUCGAAGGGACAUAUGUGUUCAUUCUGGCCAGCACCAUUCCUGUAGCCAAGGUGGCCAGUGACUCAGCCUCAGUCACAGGAAGCUCAUGGGUCAACCCUGAGCCUGCUGCAGAGGCAGUGGUCCUUUGAGCACUCCUCAUUUAAGAAGGCAGGGCUCUGGAAAUGGAAAUGAUGUGGUGGCCGAGGCAUGGGCCUAGCACCUCUGCUGGGUGAAAUGCUCAAGUGCACAGACAGAGCCUUUGACCUGCCUGGAUCCUGGGGCUUGUUUCUGCAAGGCAGGAACAUCAUGUGGUAUGUGAGAUGAUUUUCAGUGGUACUUGAGAUAGUUAAGGAAAAAUUUGUGUCUAAUUUAUGAUGUAGGGCAAGAACUCAAGUAGACAGGUAAGCACAAAAGCCACUGUGAAGGAUGCAGAUGUGAACAGAUGUUCAUAGCAGUGUGGGAAAUGCUGUUGAGUGUUUGUGUUCAUAUCAGUUAAAGACAUAUGAUGAAAGUAAUAAUUUCUCUACUAGUAUCUUCUCUCUUUAAUAGUUAAUGAAAUGGUACCCUUGGGUUUGGAAGAGUUCUGAGCCCAUUGCUAAGUGACUCUACGACUUUCUGCUUGCUGGAGCCUUUAUUUGCAGACCAGUAGUUGAUGAGCCAUUGGAGCUUUUACCAACCUGAAAUCAGAGGCUGCAGCCUGGCCUGUGGCUCCAGGGGAGGUUGUCAUGGACCAUCUUGUUUCUGAAGCUGCCAUUCCUCCAUUGACCAGUGCAAAGGUUGCUGUGUGGCAUGACCCUUUCUGUGUGCAGUACAGAAGUGCAUAGCUUGGGAUUAUUUCAGCAUUUUAGGAAAAAUUUGUACAUAAACGAUUUUAAAAAUCAUGAGCCUUAAUUAUGAGUAAAUAAAAGAGGAUAGUUUUCUUAAACUAUCUUUUAUUAAGAUAAACUAUCUUUUCUUAAACUAUUCUUUUAUUAAGUAAAGAAUGAUAUUAGAGAAAGGAAUUAUUUUCUUUUCCAAAAUACAAAAUCAUUAUACACCAUAGAGCUAAAAUAUUAUAUUGUGUCAUUAGAACAUUUGGCAAUUUUUCUUCGUUUAUGUAAAAGUUUUCUUCAACUAUGUGUUAAAGGCCUGGAUUUUUAAAUUAAUUUAAUUUUUUGCAUCUUCCAUAUGUUUAUAAGAUGAAUCAGCCUGAAGAAUAAUUGAUUGUUAAAAUUCAAAUUCUCCAGGGUUCUUUUAUAAAUUUCAAGUUUCUCUACAAGAAAUUAAAUUUAUUGUGCAAAAUGAACCUGGAUAAUAACAUUUAGUGGGGUAUUUGGCAGUUGAGCAGUGAACUUUGCCAACUAGAUCUUCUUCAUUUGGAAGUUGAUUAGGUGAGUUUCCAAGGUUACGAUCCACAACCAAAUAUCUUAUCCCUAAGGACUGAUAAUACCAUGAAAAAUAAUGCUAAAGGCAUUUUUGCAUGAUAUUUAUUUUAUUUUGUUUUGUUUCCAAACGCUCCAUUGUUGUCAGCAAUAUCCUUCUUCUUCUUUUUUCUUCUUUGAAACAUUUGGAAAAUAUAACAGGCCUCUCAGAAGCUCUCUCCACAAAUCACUUGCAGAACAAAUUAGUUCACAUAAAUUUUCUUUCUCAUUCAAAGUGAGUUGCUGGUAUCAUGGCUUAAAUCUUGAGCUGUGGCUGCAAGAACUGAGAUGGCCUUGGACCCCCUACCCACUACUAGGCCAGGCACAUGCCUUUGUCCACACAGUGUUUCUAGAGGGUUUCUGAGCUUCUCCCCAGAGCUCCUAUAGGAACAGACUGUGGAGUGUCCUAUAUGGCCUUCAUGAGUCUUGGUCUAGUUCCUCCCCAGAACCUCAGAGAGAACAUGCCCCUUGGGCCCCCAGGAGCUGUGGGGUGCAGACAGAGCUCACCUCUUGUCAGCUGGGAAAUGGCACUGUGGGUAGAGUGUGGGUUUCAUUAUUCAAGGAAGUCACGUGUGUGCUUUGCAGGUUCUGAUUCAGCUGGUCUGUGAGUGACCUUCAGCACUGUGGCACCAGCAUGUUUCUGUUUAGAAGUGGUUUGGGGAGCUGAUGGUUUGCAGGGUGAUCGAGAAGAAAAGAAUUAAGUUGGGCUGGGCCAGUGCCCUCUGUGUCUAGGGCUGUCUUUGCAACCACGUGAACACUGCCACAGUGCAGGUGAAAAUACAUACCUACUGAGAACAGUGCUGUUCGGAGGAAUGGCUUCUCACUCCUAAGGAAACUGCUGGGAUGAGGAUAGAUUCCUGGGUUCCUAUCUGCUUCUUGCUCAUGUAGUCUUUCUCAACCCCCCAAGCAGCAUUAGUGACUUUAGAGUUUGUACAUAUCUGUCUUCUGUCACUCGACAGUUGAGUUGUGAGCUCCGUUUGUUUCUCCCUUGAGACAAGGAACUCCUCAAACAUGGGCCCGGUAUCUCUGCACCAUCAACACGCAGCACAGUGCAAGGCCCAGUGUCGGUCCUGGAUAAAUGUUAGUUGUUGGAUGAAUGGAUUGGUUCAAGGCGGCAAGAGCUGUAUCUUGUAAUUAUAUCUAGACAGGAUAAACAGGCCACCAGAGACCAAUUAUAAUUCCUCUUGCUUGCAGGGAGGCCAUUAGCAUUCUGAAAUUAUAACUAAUUGUCAGAAGCCUGUUCUCUCUCGCAAUGCAUUUCACAUUAAGGCUUCCUCAUUUUUUGUCGUCAUUCCUGUUUUUAAGCUCAUUUUUAUCUGUGCAUUUAUUUAAAGAGUAUGCUGUGGUUAUACGCCAUAAAGAGUAGUUGGUUCCAACAAACUAAACGCAGAUCAUCAUUUUAUAUACGUGGUUCCCGAGGCCACUGGAAAAAUCAUUUCUUGUCACUCAGUGUGCUGACUUUUAAUGAUUCUUGCUUUGUUUUAUACUGUGUGAUAAUAAGGUCAUGUGGGUGUGGCAGAGGGGAGUGGAAGGAGGUACUGGGAACUCUUUAGUUGCCUGUUGCCCUGGAAACAGAAGCCUAAUGUCUCUGUUUAUUGUGGCUGUAACUGUACAACUUUGCUGAGUGAGAUCAGAAAUAUGUGCCUCCUAAGUUAGAAGACACAAGCCUUUUCCUUUUUUGUGCUAUGGAGCUGGUUUCUGCUUCUACCUGCUCUGAUUACUCUUUUUUUUUUCUCUUGCCUGCUUGUCUGCAAAUUCCAAAUAGAGUGAUGGGUGGGUUACCUACUCAGGACCUUUUCCUACUAUAAAGCAGCAGUGCUGAGUAUACAUUGAGAGUGGCAGACUUCAGAGACAGAAGGUCCUCCCUUCCUUCCUCCCUUCCCUUUCCCUCUUCACUCCCUUUUAUUUUAAUUUUUUGGGGGGUUACAGGGAUUGAACUCAGGGACACUUGACCACUCAGCCACAUCCCCAGCCCUAUUUUGUAUUUUAUUUAGAGAACAAGGUCUCACUGAGUGCUUAGUGCCUCGCUAAACUUCUGAGGCUGGCUUUGAACUCGCGAUCCUCCUGCCUCCACCUCCCAAGCCACUGGGAUUACAGGCGUGCGCCACUGUGCCCAGCCACUCCCUUUUAUUUUGGGGGCAAGAUUGGGAGAGUGUUUUUUAAAAAACUUUUUUAGGGCAACUUUUCAUUUGUUUUAUUUUAACAUUUUUCAGAAAAGUUGCAAGAAUAAUAACCCAAACUCCUGUACCUUUUAUCCAACUUCCCUAGUAGUUCGUGUUCUACUCCAUUUGUUAUCAUUUUCUCUCUUUAAGCACAUAUACAUGGGCGUGCACAUGCACACACAUUUUUUUUCCUGAGUAUUCGAGAGUAAGUUAGAGACAUUGUGCCCCUUUACAUCUAAAUACUUCAGUGUAUAUGUCCUAAAAGGAAAUUAUUUUUGUACAACUACAGCACAGUGAUCAAAUUUGGGGAAUUUUAGCAUUGAUAUUGUGCUAAUCAAUGUCUGUCAUUUGCAGUUCACAUCCCGGUGCCAUUUGUGGAGGAUCUCUCAUUGUGUCAAGUUGUCUCCACUGAUCUGGUCUGGUUUCUACCAAUUUGGAACAGUUACUGAGUCUUUGAAUUUUGUGACAUUGAUAUGUACAGGCUGGUUCUUUUGUAGAACGUCUCCGGAUUUGACUGAUGUGUCUUAAUGAAUGGAUUCAGUCUGUCCAUCUGACUGAGUGUCAUAGAAAUGAUAUGUUCUCAGUGUGUCAUGGCAGGAGGCACAAGACCUGCUAAUACUUGGGAUGUUAAUUUUGUUGACUUCAUAGAUAGAGACAGUAUUUGCCCAAUUUUACAGGAGAGUUUCCUCAAGGCUGUGUGAGUAUACUCUUCCUCAUUAAACUUUCACUCAUGAAUGUUAAUACCUGUGGAUAAUUCUAGUUGUUCCCUUUCCAUUAUUUGCUAAUAGAUUGUUGAAGAAUUAACAUCUAUACUUAACAGAGCCGUUGUAGGUAAUUUUCUUGUUAUGUCUUUGUCAGGUUUUGGAAUCAGAGUUUUCUGGCCUCAAAAAUGAGUUGGGAAGUAGUCCCUCCUCUUCAGUUUUCUGAUUAAAAAGUUGUUUAAGAUUGGAGUUAUUGUCCCUCCUAAAUAUUUGUUCAAAUUCAUCUGCCUGGUUCUAGAAUUUUUUUUUUUAAUGAAAUGGUUUUUGAUAACAGAUUCAAAUCAGAUAUAGGGCUUCAUUUUUGUUAUUUCAGUCAUGUCAAUGGGUAAGUUGGAUAUUUUAGAGAAUUUAUUAAUUUCAUCUAAGUUUUCAUAAUAUUUCCUUAUAUUUUCUAAUGAGUGUAAGAUCAAUAGUGUUAUCUUCUUGCAUUUAUGGUAUUGGUACUUUGUAUUGUCUCUUUUUGUUCUUAAUCAGUCUUGCUAUGGGCUUGUCAAUUUUAUUAAUGUUGGGCCUUAUUGGUUUUCAUUGUUACUUUUUUUUCUUUGUGAAAAAUAUCUGCUAUUUAUUUUUCCUUCUUCUACUUUACUUAGUUUGCGUGUAUUUUUUAGCUUCAUGAAGAGGAAGCAUUUUUACUCCUAACUUCUUUCCCAUUAUAAAUAUAAAAACAUUAAACAUGUUUGUAAUGUAUUGUUCUUUUUAUCAUUAAGGAAUGUUUCUUACAGUAAUCUAUAUAUUGCUUUCAUUUGUGAUAUUAAUAUAACUACUCCACUGUUCUUAUACUUACUGUUUAUUAUAACAUUUAUUUUUAUUCUCAACCUAUAUGUAUUUAUAUUUACAGUGUUUCUGCUUUUGGCACAUAGUUGGAUCUUUUAUAUCUAGUCUGACAGUUUUUAGUUUUUAAUACUAUGGAUUGAACACAGGGAUAUUUGACCACUGAGCCAUCUCCCCAGCCCCUUUUGAGAUGGGGUCUUACUAAGUUCCUUAAGGCCUCACUAAGUUGCUGAGGCUGGCUUUGAACUUAUGAUCCUCCUGCCUCACCCUCCUGAGCAGCUGGGAUUCCAGGUGUGAGCCAACAUGCUGGGCUUCUGCCUUUUAAAAGGAGUAUUUAGUCCAUUUAUUUUUAAUGUGAUUAUUUCUAUAUUUGGAUUUAUUUCUGCCAUUUUGCUCUUUGAUUUCCACUUUUUCAUCAGUUUUUGUUCCCUUGUUAAUUUUGUUCUUCUUUCCAUUAAGUUGAUUGAAUACUUUUUAGCAUUGCAUUUUAAUUUCCCUGAUAAGGAUUUUCAAAAAAUACAGCAAUAGCGCAGUUGUAUUUACAUUCACUUGGUUUCAUGCUUUGUCCUAUUAUUUUCAUCUGUAUUACAUUGUGAAUCUGAAAAUAGUUUCAUAAUUUUUAAAGUUAUAUCUUUGAAAGAAGUUAAUAAAAGAGAAAAAUAUAUGGCUUUUAUACUCUCAUUUUUACCAUUUUUGGUGAUUGUCAUUCCUUUUUUUUUUUUUCCUAGAUCUGAAUUAUCAUCUGGUAUCAUUUGCUUUCAGCCUGGAGAACUUCCUUUAGUACUUUCGUGCAAUGAAAUCUCUCAGUGACAGUGUAUUUAUUUUGCCAUCAUUUUUUGGGUGAUAGUUUUGCUGGAUAUGGAAUUAUGGGUCGGCAGGUUUGCUUUCUUCCUUUAGCAUGUUAAGAGUCAUUCUGCUGUUUUUUGGCCUUCAUUUUUUUCUCAUGGAAGUCAGCUGCUAUUCAUGUUAUGCUCUCAUAUAUAAAUUAUUCUUCUUUUCUUUGGCUGGAUUUGAGAUUUUUCACUCUUACCUUUGGAUUUUAGCAGAGUGUUUAUUCUGCUCAUGUUCAUUGAAUUUCUUGGAUUUGUGUAUUUAUACCCUGCACACAAUUUAGGAGGUUUUUGACUAUUGUUCCUUUAAAUACUUUUUUCUUUGCCAUUCUCUUUUUCUCCUUUCAGUCUAGGAUUUAGAUUAUAUGAGGUUUUGACCCUUGAUAUUGUUCCACAGGUCUUUGAGGCUCUGUUUUUCUUUAAUCAUUUUCCUCUCUGAUGUUCAGAUUUGAUAAUUUUUAUUUAUCUCAAGUUCAAUAACUCUUUUUUGUCAUCUUCAAUUUGUUGUUAGGCCUUUUGGUGGUUCUUGUUCUUGUUCCUCCUCCUCCUCCUCCUCGUCAUCGUCCUCCUCCUCCUCCUNNNNNCUUCUUCCCCUUCCCCCUUCCCCUUCUUCCCCUUCUUCUUCCUCUUCUUCUUCCCCUUCUUUUUUCCAGUUAUCUUACUUUUCAGCUUUAAAUUUCCAUUUUGAUCUUUUCCAGAAUCUUUACAGUCUCAAUAGUGCUGUGAUAUUGGGAGUUCCUAUGUGUGAUAUAGGGAGUUCCUAUCUGUUCUUCUUUACACUUGUUUUUCUUUUAAUCCUUGAAUAUAUUUAUAACACCUUCUUUAAAGCCUUUUUCUGGUAAUUGCAACAUCUGUGUCAUCUUAAGUGUUGAUUUCCAUUGGCUACUUGUAUUAAGGGUCACCUUCUCAUGUUAACCCCUGAAUAGCAGUUUUUGGUUGAAUACUGGACAUUAUAAGUGGUAAUUGCUCUGGAUUGUGUUGUUUCUCUAAUGUUGUUUUGCCUUAGCAGGCAGUUACCUUGACUGGUCAUUAAUUCCAAACUGUCUCCCUUUGAUGAGCAUCAGCUAAUGUCUGCCCAGUUUGUCUGAUUUCUGCCUGCUGGGUCCUCUGUAAUCUGCCCCAUGUGUGUGGUUUAGCAGACAGCCAAAGAUAGAAGCAGAUUUUAUACACAGAUUUGGACCUUGCUUACAAAUUUCUCCCAUUACAGUUUCUUUAAGGGCAGGCUGCCCUCCAGUUUCUGCCUUUUGGUUGUUAUCCAUUCCUUCCAAAUGCCUGUUUUUAAUGUUUGUUAAUAUUCUCUCAUUAUUGUCUGUAGGAAGGUUAGUACAACUAAGCUUCUGUAUCAUUACUGGAUUUUUUUUUAUAGUUUCUAUUUCUUUGAUGGGACUCCUGAUCUUCAUUUAGUGUGACUGUCUCUUCCUUUUAGUCCUUGGGCAUGUAUAUAAUAGUCACUUUAAAUUCAGUUUAAAGUUUGCAGAUUCCAAUAUCUGGAAUGUUUUUUUGUGGGUUUCCUUCUACUGACUGACAUUUUUCUUGGAUAUGAAUCACAUUACCUUCUUUCUCCUUAUGCUUAUGCUUGUUUUGGUUUGUUUGUUUGUGGGGUUGGGAUAUACUUAUGUGUGUAUGCUUUUUAUUGUAUCUUAUUGAUGAAGCUUUGUAAAAACUCUGGAUUUUAUUAUUUUCUUCUGAAGAGUGUUGACUUUGUUUUGGGCAGCAGUUCAUAUUUGUGUUUCCUUACAGUAGUCAGCAGUUCUAAGUACUCACUCUUUAAACCACAAGUUACCAAUGUUUUCUCUGAGCCUUAGCAUCUCCCCUAUGCAUGCAUAGGUCAGAGGUCAUUCUAGGGUUAGGAUCUAAUCACAGAUAGUGGGGCUCACAGAAAAGUCUCUAGCUCUAGCCUUCCUUUCUUCCCAGGAAUUCUACCCACUUUCUAGCUGCCAUGGCAGGCUCAACCUCUGCUCUCUGGCUUCAAAACAGUAAAAUUGUUGCUUUUGCUUGAGACCUGACUACCUUACAUGGCCAUGCAGCCUAAGAAGUGCCCUCACACAAAAAAUAGCACUUUACCCAGUGCAUUUUUCUCAUGGCAAGGGUCCCUCUCUUAGUUUCCUCUAGUGUUUCAUCAUUCCCCAGAGCCCAUGUAGCAUUUUAUAUGCCGUGACCUGCUAUGCCUGUAUGUCCCAGAUUACCACCCUUUGUUCUCAGUGACAUUACUUAGCCGUUGUCAGUGUUAGUUUUUUCAUCUGGAGAAGUGGGAUAAUAUCCAUGCUAUGGCGUUUUGAGGAAGGUAGAAUAAGCCUGUGUACUUCCACCGUGUGCUUACGUGUUGGGCACAUGGUGUGUACCUGGAAGAUGAUGGCUUGAGCUUUAGACAGACACUUAUGUGAGUGACAGUGGAGAAAUAUCUGUCUAUUGAUCAUAUAAUUUGAUAAAAUUCAAAAGAAGAUGCUUUGUGUUUAUCAUUCUUGGCUAUUUUGGCAAUAUUUUAAAUAUUUGCUUUUGGAAACUAUCUUGUCAUUGGUACAUGUAAUUUAGAUAUUUCGGUGUUUCAAGUGAUUCUGAUUUUCUUUUUAUUUAUUGAUAAUCUGAAAAAUGACAUCAAUGCUGAGCAAAGACAUACUUGAACACCUGCUCCUCCCUUGAUUCUGUGAACUGUGUGGUGAUGGGAAACACUUUCAAGUUCAGAAGGUAGGAACCUAAGAGUUUCAAAACUCUUUAAAAAUCAAAAAAUUCAGAAUUGAUUUCUCUAAAGUUUCUGUCUACUCCUUCAGUAGAUGCACAUCUGGAGAAAAGAUGUAGCCAGUGUGAACUGUGUAGGGAAAUAUGUGGCAGUGUUCCACUUCUUGCUGCAGAUAGGAAGUACACAGAGCCCUGGCGUGCGAGUGGACGGGACCUGCCUGCUGGGGGUGUAGGCCUCGACACCCACUGCUUCCGUUGCCCAGGUUUGUGCCUGACCUGCAGGGUCUUAGGUUUCCUGGGGUAGUUCCUGCCAGAACCCUCUUCUCUUUGCUGUACCUUCCAAAUCCAAUUUCAGCUUCCCACUUGGUUUCUUGUCACCUGGUGUCAGGUUCCUCCUGGAAGCUGUCAUUGCCCCUCUCUCAAUAGCCUCUGCUUCCACCUUGCUGCCUGCUGGCCCUGCUCCUCUAGCCCGUCCUCGUGAUGCGUGGGCAAGACAAUGGGUCUCAUUUACCAUGCAGAGAAUGUGGAGGGGCUCUUUUUGCCCUAUUGCUAACCAAAUACAUUAUGUAUCAAGAUCAAUUAGGAGCCAGACAAUCCUAGAAGUUGGCAUCUUCUCGUAGCUCUUGUGUUCUCAGUGCAGCAGAGGCCCUAGCCUGAUGCUGUGUGGGCGGCAGGCGUGGUAAGUGCUUGUUAGCGCCCUGACUGGAGCCAUGAUUGCUCUCAGGGUUCCUGCUUGUUAGUUUUAAAUUUGUUAAGACAAAAAGAUAGGAAUAAUGUGGAUGCCUUUUGCCUCUCUAAGGUGUGUGCUACAAAUUUUGGUGUUAUUUGCAUGCUGUUGGACAAGAAGCCACAAGAAAUUUUCAGUACAUAUAGUUUUGCCAAUUAUAAUUGCUGAUUCAUUUCUUAGUGCACUUUCCAGAUCAUUUGUAAAGUUUUAUAUUUAUGAGUCUGUUAUUCUGGAAUGGCAAUUCAGUUCUGCCUUCAUCAACUUCAGAUUUCUCAACUUCUGAAAUUCUUACUCCUGAGCACUAGGCAGCUGGUCUGGAAGUCAUGGAGGCAGCCCGCCUCUCCUGCAGAUGUGGCAGCUGCUUCUUCUCAGGCCGCACUCCCUGUUUCUUCUCCCCAUGGAAGUCACUCUCUGUCCCCUCUUCGCUGCUCUUCUGCUCACUCUCACCUUGCUUCUGGGCCUUCAAACCAUGGAUACUUUUUUUUUUUGGUGUAAGCUGAAAGCCCAGAACCUUACUGGCCUCAGUCCCCUUCACAGACGUACUUUCUGCCUCACUUGCAGUCACCUGCUCUGUUCUAUUUGGCCUUGGUGGGCUUCACCUCUGGACGUUCAUUUGAAUCCUGGAGAAGCUGGAGGAAGGAGGAGAGCCCACACAUCUAUACUUUUUAUAAAUCCCCAUGUGAUCCUGGUAUAUAACAGCACAGAGAGCCACUUCACCAGCCAGCCGGGUGACUCUCAGCUCCCUGAGGCUUUAUGCUCUUCUGCCCUCUGGGCCUCUGCUCUCCCACAAGGGUCUUCCCUGCCUGAUUGGAUCUUCUGCACAGUUAAAACGCAGCUUGGGUAUGCUCUGUGGUGUUUUUCCUUGUCCAGACUCACCUGGCCACUGUGCCAGAGCCCACUCACUUCUCCCUGGGCAGCCCUCUGUCGACCUUUGUUCAGAGCACUUCAUGAAGGUUUUGUGGAGAGGGACCUUGAGGACGGGGACCACAUCCUGUUAAUCUUUGUCUCCCCUGUGCCCACCUGGCAACUGGAGAGCUGCCAGGUGCUCAAAAGGCACUCACUUUCAUUUGGCAGAGUGGACUACCUGGGUAGUUGGAAUUUAACCUCAGAAACUAUAAUUUUUGAAUCGAUUUUUAAAUUUAGGUUUAGAAACUCACUUUGUUUUAUUUGAAGUAUAAGCCAUGUCACCAUGGUUGUAACCCAAGAACAAUUUUUUAAUGGGCUUGCUGCUUUGAAAAUACAGUGAGUGUUAUUUUCCACCUAAUGUAUCUGAAUGAGGAGCAGCAGUGGCCAAAAUGCUGAUCUUUCUGUAGGCAGAUAGUUCCAUGAUCGUAUCAUAUUCCCCUUUGUGGAACAAUUUAAGCUAAUUAUUUUACAUUAUGAUAUUAAAAUCAAAGCCUUUUUAAAGGAUAAAUUUUAAAAGAAGAUGUAAUCAUGACCUUCACCUAGAUAUAACUGAACAUAUGUCAAAGAUUAUAUUUUUAACUCAUUGAUUAAUGAUGGAAACCAAUAAGAUAGUACAACCAGUUUAAUGGAGAACUCAAAGUAGCACACGUUUGUAGUCUGACCAAGGAAUGUUGACGUAAACUUUGAGGGAUUCAAAACAGAUCAAUAUCCAAAGUGAUACCUGAUUGCAUUCCACGGGACACACUUGGUCUUCUGUGGAUAGGAAUCACUUGCAUCGCCAUUAGUUUCUGCUUAGGGACCGCCAUUAAGCCUCAGUUUUGUACAGUCUUUCUCUGUGUUUAUAACAAAUAUCAGUUAUAUCCCCCCCAACUUUUUUUUUUUUUUUGAGCUUUCCCUUGUAUCUUGUUAAAUUUAACCAAGUCCUACAGUGAAGUCAGGAGGUGAAGGAUGUGUUUCUUUCUUCCACUUCUCUUACUUUCUCCUCUCUCCAGGGGUUCCUUUUAGACCAGGGUUGUUUCCCUCUUGUUACUACUUUGGGAUCUGCCAUCACUGUGCAGUAAGACAGGUUCUGCCCGUCCCCAGGGUACUCAGAGUUGAAUAGUUACGUUUUUUUGUGUGUGCUUUGUUAGAUCCCCAGAUUUUUUGAGCUCUGCUUAGAUAACAUGGUGGGGCCCACGGCAAGCCUGCACUUCCUAUGACCCCACCCAUCCCGCCCUGGGUCCGCAGAGCUCUGCUCUCCCCUCUUCAUCAGGCUUGGCAGUGACCCCUGUGGAUGGUGAGUGCUGACAGUGCUGUGUCUGCCUGUCUCACUGUGUCCAGCCUCAGGACUUGUGCCUAUGUAUUGUGUCCUUGUAGUCCCUGGUUGGUGGCAUAAUCAGAUUUAGACCCAUCUGAAGUCAAAAUUAGGGCACCUGAAGUAUCAAAAGUUUGGGGGUGAAUAUUAAGAAAGUGGUGCACACCUUAUUAUCUGCAAUGAGCUCACUGUUGUCGAAGUCAGAAUCGAGAAGGAAAUACUAACCGAGUUGUUCCCUUUUCUGUUACUGUUGUAAGUACACCAUGGUUAAUGCAUUCUGCUUAAAUACUUUAUAUGAUCUGUCACUAUUUGUUGUAUAAUUAAUAUUUUAGAAAAAAUAAAAACUAUAUAGGGCUAAAUAUUUGCUUAUUUUCUGUUAAAAAUUAGUUUAUUGGGGAUUUGUCUAAUGCUCUGGAUAGCGCUGAGUCCGGCAGACACAGUGGAGCAGAUGUCUGGCGGUCAGCUGUCAGCAAGCCUGGCCUCCACCACAGGCUGAGCCUGUUCACUGUACUGCACUCUGGCUUCAGGUGUGGCAGGCUGCCUUCCAGUGCCUGUGCCCCUUCAUUUCCAUCUUUGCAAACCCCUCCAGGGCUGGCCUGCAUGUUCCAGAGAAUGGCACACUGAGCCCCCCUCCACUAAGGCAGGACUGCUCUUGCCUCUGGCUGGCCCAGUCCCUUCAGGUAGCGCCUCCUGGCCAGGGUCAACACCAGGAUCCAGUCGCACCUCAAGCACUCCCCUAAAAUCCCUGCAGUUACCGUCUUGUCUUGAGUUUAGUGACAGUGACCUUCUGGGCAGGAAGGAAUAUUAGAGCUUUAAUUAUGUAAAGAAGCAAAAAGUAAUUGCAAUAAUGAUUUUGAAACAUGACUACUAGGUUAUAAAUAAUGAAGCUACCAUGUCUCCUAAAUUUAGAUAAAAUAUUCAUUGAGAGUAGUGAUUAAAUAACCUAUAAAGAAAAAUUUCUCUUACUUUUUGAUUAAUGAAGUUCUUUGGAUAGUUUACACAGGAAAAAUGCAAAGUCUUCCAAGUAUGCUUUGGUGAUGUAGGUGUUCUGUGCAAAUAAGGGUGGGAUUCUUGCCCACCUCUGAGGCCUGCAAUGCUGUCUCUGGGAGUGUCCAUCUUUUCUGUGGUGUAAGGGUGCCUACCAACCCAACGCCUUGAGGUAAUCCAGUAUCUGUCCACUGUUAGCGUCCUGCAGGCAUGCGCUAGUGGGCACGCUACACCUCAGCUGACACAGGUCAUCUGAAGAUGGGGCCAUCCUCCCCACCAGCCUGCUCCAUCAGAAUUCAUGAAACACUUGCUGAAUGUGAGGCCCAGGUGCCGCAUCUUCCUCAUCAAGAUUUUCAGUGGCCAACAAAUAGCCAGCUCUUGCCAGCUUCCACAUGCUUUCUUUCCCAGUGCCUGCCCCCUAGUGGAAGUACUCAUGAGCAGUAAGUGGGUACAACUUGCCCCUGAGGUGCUUCUGCAGUGUCAGGCACACUCUGCACUGGAAUGCAGAGGAAGGCUCAGCCUGGCUGUCACAUGAUGUUCUUCAUGUCUGCCACACUCCCAGUGGUUCAGAGGGAGUGAAUUGGGCCUCUUACCUACUCAUUACAUUUUAAUCUGACACUGGGAGGCACCCGAAUGGUGGAUGACCAGUUAGAGGAAGAGGAGAAUGACUGGACUUGUGAGGAGGUAGGUCUCAGGUUUUUCCACGUCCCUUCCAGUCUGUCACAUGACACUACAAGUUUGCUUCCUUCAGUUUAACCUACUGAUUCAACAAGGCCUAUGCAGAUAGUGCCAGAUCCACUCAUGGAAGGGACAUCAGUGGAAACUAGUGUCUCCUGCCUAUCAGUAGCCCCUCUACCAGCCCCACAGAAAACCUGGGGGAAGGCCCUGCUGUGACUAGGCGCCGCAUUGCCCAAACCCUGCUCUGGGCCAGUGCCUUCCCAAAGCUCUCUGAUAUUAAUGACCUCCCAUCAGCAGCCAGCCUGCCCAAGGAAUUCAAAGGAUGUGUUCUCUAGUGUUCUUUAUUGGCAAACUCCUGUCCCUGAUAUAAGCCAGGAUGUAAAGCAACUUCUGAGCGGGGCUUGGCCGCAGGAAGGGGGCUGUAGCAGAGUCAGGAAGUCCUCCCUGGUUUGCAGGAGCAUAAGACGAAUGGUCCAGAUGUUCAACGUAAAAGUGGUCUGUUGUCAUUAAAGAGAACACGAGAUGUUUCUGUGUUGUGCAUUGCAUGUGGCCACUUCCUUCCCCCUCAGGCCUGCAUAUUGAUGCAUGUGUGUGCCUGAGUUUAUAUACACUAUGCACAUGUGGAGAAAACCGAUCGGCUCAGUCUCUCCCUGGCCAGGACAGUUGGAGGUGUCUCCACAUGGGACUCUUGCAAGGACUGAGCCUCCUUGUUCUGCAGACAGACAUAUGCAUCAUUUGAGGCAGUUUUAGAAGAAAAGGACAGUGCAUGGACACUGAUGUCUUUCCCCUGUUUGAUGCCCUUUCUCGUUACAGGCAGCUAAGGGUGAUGCUUCUUUUGGAGCUUGUUAACUCAGCCCUUGGCUGCACUCUGAGGUGUCUGUCUCUGUGUGGCUAGGAAGACUACAGCUUCAUCUUGGGGUAUUUUUAUUUUCUGACUAGAGCUCCUUUUGGCAUCUGAUCUGAGAGUCAGACCCUGCCGUCUAUAUCCAUUAUCAUGACUCUGCUUUCUCUAUGGUGCUGCUAUAUUUACACUCUUCCUUGAGUUGGAGAAUUGGAAAAAAACACCACUUACUGCUGUUUCUGGGUGAAGAUUGGUGAAGCUUUCAGGAAGGGAAAUGUGAAGGUCCAGUUAGCCCUGUGAUUAGUCUUUGUCCUUAAGUUUAUGGAGAGUAUUAAAUCAAGUUUUCUAAAGGAAAGAGCACAUGUAACACGUCACUUCUAACAGGUGCAGGCAGAGGUCUGUUUGGAAAACACAUCAUGGGACUCACCCUGAUCCCCAGCACUGGAACCUGAGCUGGAGGCUGGGCACCUAUGAUGGGCACCUGAAGCUCUUGGAAUCUGCUGAGGGGCUUAUGCAGGCAGCCCCAUGUGGAACAUGGCGAGGACUGGCUGAGGAGGAGACUUAGCCAGCUUAAAGCGUGUAGUUCCUGGGGACAGAGGAAAUGUCUGCGAGAGUUGCUUACAGAGUACAUCAGUACUUUGACCUGAGCUCUGAGGGAUAGCUGGGAAUCCACCAGCCAGGGAGGUCAAGGAGUGAGUUCCAGAGGGUUCUUUCAGUUCUCUGAAACCAUUGUUUGUGGCAUCUUGUGUGCACGGCAUGUGUAACUUCUUUGUAAGAAAGGACUUAUAGCUUUCCUUGGUUCUCCAAGGCAUCUGUAACCCCAAAGAUACAGGAAUAAAUGACAUGUUUUAUUUGUAAACUGACCAUAACAGGAAUGUCCCUUAGGCCAUUGGGAAGGGCCUGGUGUGCUGCACUAAGAAGAGGGGACUUGCCCUGGGCACAGAGGAGAGCCAGCUGCAAGCUCUAAGUAUUUUAAUGAAUCUUGGGGUCCAUCAAAUUUAACUCAUAGAAAACAGGAUGCAGGAAGUUGUGUGUGUGUGUGUGUGUGUGUGUGUGUUGGCAGGCUGGACACUGGAAGCAUGCAGUUUUAUUUUUAUAGAAAAAUAUGUCAAAUAUAUCAUCUUUACUGUUAGGAGGUCUCUCCUAGUCAUGCUAUGGACAACGGGGGAAGCCCGGGCUUGGUGAGCAGGUUGUAACUCAUCUGCUCACACACCAACUCACUGAGUGCGGGUGUGCAGGGCGUGCCAGGGGCAGGCCUCACAGAGGAUGGGAGCAUACCCUGCGUGGCAUAGGCCUCCCAGGCUUGCUGCGCAGUAGCAUUGGGUUCUUUCUGUGAUAGCUGAUGGAGUCCAACUCUGGUUUUGCCUGGCCGAGGCUUUUGAGUUCAAAUUGGACGCUGUGUGUGGGGCUGGCCCUUAGUUGAAGAGGUUACUGUAAGUGGCCCAUUACAUCUUACUGAGAACUCACUUUGAGACUCCAGAACCUGGUCACUCUGAUGUGUUCAGCUUGGGAACGGUGUGUAUGUGCGGUGCCCACUUCUCUGGAGUGAGCCCCACAGGUCACAUAAGCUAUUCGGCUUCUUGACACUUCUCUUCUUGCAGCUCGAGUUCAGGUGUCGUCAGCUGCACUGAGAGCCACGCAGUAUGACUCUGCAGAUGACCCCAGCAUAGGCCAACAGAAGGUCGAAGAGAAGGUCCACUGCAGAUCCCAGCUCUGCCUCUGACAGUCACAUCCCCCUGCCAGCUUCAUCAUCUCGGAAUGAGCUCUCUGUGGCCAGGAUAUUACAAAGCACAGUAAGUAUUUGCCCUAUUCCUCAGCCACUGAGGAUGUGACAGAAAUCACAAAGUUGCGUUUUCUUUUAUUAAUAUAUCCCUGCAGAGAAGAUAAAUGGCAAGUUUCAUUUCAUUCUUAAGGUCAUGUUUGGGAUAACUAGACAUCCAAUCAAUCAGGUGAUUGAUAACACUGAUUCUCUUCCACAGAAACAGGGCGGGGACCAGAAAGUACCUUCCCUCUCCUCCAAAGAUGACAAGAACUGAUUCUUGGGAGAAGGGGGCAUUAAUGAUAUAAAUGUCUGUGUCACUGCUGACAGUCAUUUACAUCUUUUAAUAAUAGUGGAGGGUGGACUCAUGGAAUUCCUAGAAUUUAAAGUUGAUGGAGGCUUUAGGGAAAGAUCAUCUCACCCAGCCCCUCACUGCACAGGGCUCCUUAGUCCAGGGUGUCCUGGCAGUGGUGCUGGCAUCCUGCUGCUUGGAACAUAGAGCUUGAGUCCUCCUGGAGUCCAGGGCCUGAAGCCAGGUCAGAGGGCCUGGGAUGUCUUUUUUCCUGAGUCUCUAGAAGCUUUCUAACCCUCUUCCACUGGGGUUCCUGAGCCGCCCUAAUUCCUUCUAAACUUCACUGCGACCACUUUAAAAUAUGCUCUCCCGUGCCUGGGGGUUGGAGUGGAGCCUGAAAACCAGGGAGGGGUCUGUGAUCAGGGAAGGAGCAGGGAUGUUAGCCUUCUCUUCACCGUGGGCCGUGGUGGGCAGGCUCUUCAGACGUAUGGUUUUCAGCACCUGAGUGCAAAUUGUUUCUCUGUUCACACAGUUUUUAAUUUUGGCUUAGUGAUUAAACUGACUUACCACCUCUCAUACUCCAUAGACCUGCUCCAGUAAAGCAAAGCAAAACAAAAUUCAUAAAACCUGAUUAUAAAAUGUUUAAGAGUUGGUCAUAGUUAUCUUUAGUAAGAAAUGAGAUGGUAUACUGGGUUGCUGUUUUUUCUUAAAAAAUGGGCCAGAAAACUCAUGCUGUUACCUUGUGACCUGACUGUAGUGAUCAUGGAGAUAAAGUAGAAAGGUUUGACCAUGCUGACCUUGAUGUGACAGUAUUUGGGCUUCUCCAUUAGAGACAGACAUGGAAAGGGAAAGAAGCAAUUGCUUCAGGUUGGCUCUUGGGUGGAUGGAAAAGCCCCUGUGCUCCUGUGCCUUCAUUUUGUAGUGAGGAGCCCGAGCUGUGGACUUCAGCUCAACUUCAAGGUUCUUCUGGGCCCAGCCAGAGCUGCCAGUUGCAAAAGAAGGAAGAGGAAACAGACUCUUGAGAGGCUUGGACAGUGAGGAGAGAGCUCCCUCACGCCAGAUGCUGAGACACAGCAGUGCCGUGGACAGGAAGCUCCAGGGCUGGCCACUCGGUAUCUUUGUCCACUCUGCCAGGUGCUCGUGACAGUUCUGCCUGUCUCCCAUUUGUCUCUUCAGAAGAGCAAGGUAUCCUAUGCCAGAAACCCACCUCACUGCCCUCUCCCCAAGGGCCCCUCUCUGGCCACAGCUGCACCAUAUAUUUGUGGGUACAGCAUGGGGGAGGGUGUAGAAGAUGCCCAUCUCCUCAAGCAUCAGGAUUCUGCAAGGAAGGGGGUGCUCAGGAGCCAUUAGCCUGUUGCUGUGCUGGUGCAGGGCACUGAACUCAGGCACUGUUAGGGGCUGGCCUUGGUGGUUGGCUUGCACCCAACUUGGCUCCUGGUAACUGCUACACUCAACAGGACCCCGAGGACUUUGGAUAAUAAUAAUUCCAGCCACACACAUUGUGAGUAUAUGUGAAUUUAUUAACUUAGAGGAAAAAGCCUUAGGUUGUCAUACCAGAUGACCUGUUUUUAUCUCGUAUUCUGUUAAAAUAAACAGUGUACUUCAGUGAAAACCUUGGCAUUGAAGGUUCUGGUGGCAUGCCUCAGAAUGAACGAAGCAUCUAUCCCUGUAUUAAUCGACUUUCCUGGAUCAUAUGUUGAGCUGAUUUGUCAGAAUCCAUUAAGCUGGUAGACAGUAUGACAUUUCAAGUGCAAGCUAGAAAUCCACGUCAUGGUUGAAGGAGAAGGUCAGAUCCAUCUCAGUUAAUGUUAAUCAAUGAUCAGAGACCAAUAUGUCACUGGUGAAUGUUCUUGCUCAUUUUAAUUGUUAACCUAAUGUAAAGGUUCAUUAGCAAACACGCACAGUGUUUGUCCACGUGGAAACUAAAAGCAGUUUACGGGGCGCAUUCUCUGUCAUCGCCACACCUCUUCACUCAGUUCACUGCCCCCUGCCCUCUGAGAGGUCCACUGGUGCUGCAGUAUCUAUUCCCCAGAAAACUGAGGUGCUUGCCACUCUGUGGCUUGCAAACCUCAUCCUUCCUCUGGGGCAGUCUACCCUUAACAUGUGAAUGUUAUUGGAGGGUGCUGGAAGCCACACGGGGGAGGUUUUCAGGGCUCAGAGACUAGUACAAGCAGGCUCACAUGGUUGGCACUCACCAACUUUAACAGUAGCUUUUGUUUUGUGUAAGGACCACAAGCAGUCUUGGAAUUAAAAUAUGUGCAAUCAGUUUUCUCUAGCUCUUAAAAUGACUGGCCUGUACGACAUGAUAUCUAACUGUACAAAAGCAGUUUGUAAGCUCUGGAGAGACAUCAUUGACUUCAGAGAAUGUUCUUGGCUUAGGUUGGCUUCUUUCAUUUCUUUGAAGGGGAAGUGGUCUGGUGCAAAUUGAUAAAUACUCCCAAACAACUCUGUAGGAUCUUGGCAACCCCAGAAAUGGAACCAGUGACCCUUUGGAGACUGAGCAGAGGCAUGAACCCAUCCCCUUGAGGAGAACAAAUCUAAAUUAUAGGCUUGUUCCUAAAAAAAAAAAAGAAAGAAAGAAAAGAAAAAGAAAGAACGAGCAACUCAAAACUUUAUUUUCUGAAAGUUAAGUUUAAGAACAGACAUUGAAACCAAAUAAUUUUCUUCUGUCAAUAUUAAGUAUGUAUCUUGGUUCAUAACCUGUGUUGCUAACAUUUUCUCUCUAACUUAAAAAGAGAAAUUUUAAAGUAGUGUUUAAAAUAUUCUGAACAAUCUAUAAUAUUAUUUUAAUAAAGUUAAUGUAAGAAAUAUUUUGACAUCUUACUAUUUGGUAUCUGUUUAAUACAAAUAUUUUUUUUUUUUUUUUUUUGGUCAAAAGUCGACAGCUUCCUUGGUUGAACUAUGUGUGUUCAGUUUCUCUCUCUCAUGGAUUAGCUUCUGGUGCCAAAUAAGUUCUCACACGUGUUCUAGAUUAUGGUGGAGCUUUGCCCUCACAGCAAUGAAUGUAUGCAGGGGGCAUCUUAGGGGCACCACCCAUCUGUUGGAAGACAGUAAUGACCUAGGUGUUGGUCGUGGGCCCUCGAUUGCUGGGUGAUUGUGGGAGAGAGUAGACAGCCCCCAACCUCAAGGUGGUUAACCAUGCCAAGCAGACAGCUACCUAGACUGUUCUUUGUGAUUCCAGAUAAGUUGUGGGCACCACUUGAACUUCCUCCAAAGCCAAACCCAUUCCCUGGAGAAAACAGGGCGCUACCCCAAAGCCCUUUGACUUUGGGAAGGCCUCUUGUUCCUCCCCAAAUUUCUGCUUUGUUGUUUUCACCUUUAAAUUCCAAAUUGCUUGUUUUCCUUAGUUUGCUGUUCCCUUUGACCCUCUUUCCUAAAGUGUAAUGUUUUCCUUUUUUCUCUCAUUUCCCAGGCUAUAAUCCCUCAGCUUCUGCUAAAUCAGUUUGUGUCGAUGACUGACCAAGUGCAGGCCCAGACGUAGCCAAACACUGUGCAGACAGCUUCCCAGGGGUGGCAGUGACCUGGGUAGGCAGAAUUGGCACUGCCUGAAGGACACGUACAAAACACUGUCUUCAUGCAGGUAAAGGAAGCCUUUUCAGAGGCAGGUGCAGAAAGAGGAGGGUUAUUUAAUUAGGAAGCAAAGGGAAACUGCGGCCAGGCUCGCUGACCUGGAUUUCCUAUGGAUGCCAAUCGGCGUGUUUACUGGUCUCUGAUGAAAUAGAGCUUUAAGUGGCUGACACCUGGCAGCAUUCAUUUUGCUCCAGAAAUGCCAUGUAAGAUGUUGGGAACAUUAAAUUACAUUUGCUUGUUGUGAUCUGUGUGUCUGCUCUGUACCCCUAGUGGAAGGUCCACCAGAAUCUUGCCUUCUCCGUUCAUGAGCUGGCUGUGAUUCUUGGGGAUCAGUUGAUGGCAGCUGACCUGGUACCUGUCUUCAGUGGAUUUUAAAGGAUCUUGUGCACAGGAGUUCUUAAGCAUCUUUAUGAUUUUCUAAAGGCAGGAAGGAGGGUUAAAAACAAGCACCCUCUCUCCAGUCAGUCGUAUUAAGCCCUGGAUAUGUCUGGAAUCAGUGAAAGACAAAAAGAAAAAAAUUCACAGUGCAGUUGUCUGGGUUUCUUCUGUUGAAAUGCACCAUCCCAAAUCUUAAAGUGGAUGUUGUUUUAUCAAUGGGCAAUGCCUUAUCGUGUUUCCUCCCCAGCUCCUGUCCUUCAGGGCUGCAGUUCUGUGUAGGGUGUUAUGGACGCACAGCUGAGCACACUGGGUGCAGAAGAAGAAACCAGGCCCCUCGUGUGGCCUGACUUGCCCAGAGUCAGCUGGGGAGAGCCUGGGCCGAGGCCUGACCUCAGGUCGGCAUGAAGGGCUUUCUCUGCAGGAUAUUGCUGCUUCCCGUCUUGCUUUUGUCUUGUCUUCUUUUUCCUUUUUCUUUUUUGCUGUAAAGGAACGAUGAGUGUAAAAACAAGCGUUUAGAAAUGGCCUAGAGAAACUAAUUAGUUGCAUCCACUGACCCGGAGCUGCCCUUGAGGGGGUGCGCUCUCAGACUCCCCUUUGCUGGUGCUGAGCUGACUGCAGGAAGGCAGCAGCGGCACUGUCCGCUGCACACACCGAGGUGAUUGUUUAGGUGGGACAUGGCAGAAGGAAGAGACCCUGGGGCUUUUGGGAAUACACAGCAUAGGCGCCCACCAGGGGAAAGACUGGGAGUGUCCUGGGCGAACUGAUGUCAGUUGGCUGGGAUGCCAGCUCACACACACACCGGGCCAUAGAUGACAACUGAAAGGAGUUAGGGCAUGAGGGAAAGGCAGGGUUCUUCCAGUGCCAAACCUUAAUCUGAAACAAAAUAAGAGGGGGCACUUGGGGUUAUUUUGUGGGUUUAUAUGUUUUUAAUUACAUAUACAUUUUAAAAAAUAGUUUCUCCAUGAAGACAAGAGGAAAGAAUAUCUGUAUCAGUUUCAAGAAUUUGUAGUGACCAAUAUCAGCAGGAAUUGGAGGUUUUGACAUUAACUAGCAGAGUAAGUAGAAACCUGUUCAGGGCAAUGAGAAGGCAAAUCAGAAGAAGUAAGUCUUAAUUUUCCUACCUUAUAAUUGAUUUCUAAACCAGCAGUAAUAAUGUUCUUUUGGAUAAAGAGAUUAUGUUUUUAUUAAGGUAUAACCGAAUUCCAAAGCUCUAAGUAACAAAUACCACAGUCUCUGGGGAGACAUUCAUUUUCACACAGAGCCGGGGCUGCAGGCACCCUGGAAUUAGAGUGUUCUGCUGUUCUAUAAGGUAAUUUGUUUGAACCAAAUAAAAGAUGAAUUGCCCACUCUUCAAUAUUUCCCUAUUAAUCGGAGCAGGUUUUGCAAAGCUUUCUUGAGCAUUUUGAGUGCUGUCGGCUCUGCAGGGUACAGCAUGCUUUAUGUACUUCAGCUGCUAAAGAAAAUGGGGCGACAGCGAGAUCUGAAAAGGUCUAACACGGAUGAGAAGAUUAUUAAAUAAAAAUGUCCCCCAAGGUGGCUUAUAUCUGUGCAUCAUUUCGUGUGUGGAGGAGUUAUUCGAUUUCAUCUUGUGCCGGCAGUAGGAAUGUGCCAGGUUUUCGUGAUUAUGAAAGGGUGAUAGCAUCGUUUUAAGUAACUCCCCUUCCCGAGGUGUAUAAUGCGCUUUUCGUGAUGUGGAGAGGGUUUGUUUGUGUUGGCAGGGGUUUGGGUUUUAGUUCACGCCUUGUUGAGAUUCAUUUCGGUAUCUUUAGUUUUCAUUUUUCUUAUCCACAACUCGAAAUCUCUCCAGUCAUUGUCUUCCCCGAAGAAAUUCAUCAGGCUUUUGCAGCCAUUCAGGAUAUGAUCUGGCUGGUGCCAGGGGCGAGCUGGAAGAUUUUCUCUUUGCUGCGGGCUUUAAUCAUUAUGCUUAAUUUGAGAGAUUGAGGCUCAGUCAUUAUGCCCGCUCCCCGCGCGCUGUGCAGAACCUGAGGACGGCGGGCGGCUUCCACGGCGCCGCGUCGCCCUCUGGCGGCGGUGCGCGGCGGUGCGCGGCGGUGCGCGGCGCUGGCCGCCCGGCGUUAUCGCUCCGCAGCGCUGAUCUCCAUCUCCGCCGCGCUUAUUGCAGCCCGAGCUGCUGAUAAGGAUCCUGUGCUCCCGCGCCCGCGAUACGGUGUCAUUUUCCCCGGCACAGUGCUUUCCAUAUGAAAGUAGCACCUGCGCCCGUGGCUCGAGGCGCCGACCCCCCUCCCCGCCGCUUUUUCAUUUCCUUUGGCUGCCUGGUGAAAAUAAUGCGGUCGGUUCCGCAGCCGCCCGGGCCGCGGGGAGCCGCGGCGCGCUGCGCCCGCUCCGCUCCGCUCGGCCGCCGGCUGGUGGCCCCGGCCGGGUCUCCAGGCCGCGCCCCGCGCUCCCCGGCGGCCCGGGAGCCCGACCCGCUGUUCACGCUGUCGGAUGGUGCUGGUGUCCUGGGCCGCUCGAGCGGUACCGGCUGGACACUAGGUCCGCGGCCGUCGUUUCCCAGCCUCUGUGGUGCGAAGCUGCAUCUGCUUCUUUUUAGUUUGGUUUGUGCGCGUUGAUUUUUGCCUCCACGUUUCUUAGCUUAGCCAUUUCUCGCGGCCUUCUGCUGUUUGCAUUUUACUGACCGCGCUGGCGAGGUCUUGGUGCUGUUCGUUUCCCAGCCUGGCUGUUUUUAUGCACAAGAUUAAAUGAGCGUGAAGAAAAAUUAGUGAGGUGUUCCUUUGGACCAAAAGAAGUUUUUUUGUUGUUUGUUUUUUGUUUUUGUUUGUUGUUUUGUUUUUUUGCUUUUUGUUAUUUUGGUUUUGUUUUAAUUUCACACAGCUGAAGCUGAUUUUGGACCCCCGUAGCCCCUGUGGCGCCUGUGAUUACCUAAUGCACGUUGCCCUGAAGUUGUAUGCCGAGAGGUUUCUGAAGUUGGUGGCUCUCCUUCCAACGAGGGAGGAAACACGGCCUUUUCUGUUUGGGAGUAUUAAAAGCAUUUGUAUGCAAUGAAUCAAAAUGCAUUCUGCUGUCACGUAUAACUAAUUAGAACAAAUAAAAAAAUAAAUAAAAAGCAAUGCCAUUAAAAAUCAUCAAUUAAAAAAAAGCAGGAGUGUUUAUCUGCCAUUUUAACAUCUGUAUUUUUCAUGGGGUGAAUUUGUCAGUUUACCUAUAAAACCAGCUUUUAAAUUUUGAAAUUAGGAACUGUGUUAUAUAUACUUUUAUCAAUUUUUGGAGUAGCUUUUUUAAAAAUUAUGUGCCUCAGUGAUAGAAUUUGUGGAUAGAUCACUUUAUAUGUGAAACCCUUUAAAUAAUAGCUGCUGCUUUUUAUUUUUCUUCUUUUUCUUUUUCUUUCUUUUCUUUCUUUUUUUUUUUAACACUCUGGCAUGGUUUUGAGAGGUGCUCAGUGUGCAGACUGCAGUAUAGGAAAGCCGGUCCUGCUUCUCAUGGGCUUCGUACCAGCUGAAUACCGACUGAGAAAUCUCAUUUGAAAAUACUGAUUUUCUGAUGGCUCUAAAAUCUUAUGAAAAGUGACAUGUUCUAAGAGGUAACAAUGUAACUACAUUGUUAUGAUGUAGUUAUGAUGCAAGAAGAAAUGUUCUAAAAUUUAGACCCCCAAGCUUGCUAAUGCAUUUUUCAAAUGCCAUUCUCCUCUUCAUUUUUAAUGAAGGGUUUUUUAUAUGUGUGUCUAUAUGUUUAUUGCCAUAUAUUUAAACAUUUUUUUUUCUGUGUUCUAAUGAUUACUGUGACAAGACUGACUUUUUCUCUUGUGAAUCCGUGAGAAAGGUGGGAGGGUGACAGACGUCUGGUUUCUGUUUCAUGGUCAGAGACGGCACAAGGGCAGCAUUUCUCAUGAGCUCCUCCGUGUUUUCGCAGGCCGUGGUGAUUCUGCAUGCACUCUGGCCGCACAGUUCAGGGGCCUGGGGUUAGUCCCCCACCCCUGGGAGCUGGUGGGGGCUCCUGCACUGCUCUCAAUGGGUGGGGUAGGUGAGGCCCGGGGAGAUCCACCCCUGUACUGCUCUACAACCUGAUGACAUCCUUUCAGCACAGAACCCCAGCCCCCGAGCCCUAGUUGGGAGCUCCAGGACAUUCUGCCUGGACCCUUAUCCUGCAGUGACGGGAAGCACCAACCCAGGGUCACCUUCCAGUGAGCUCACCCACCUGUGGAUGGCCAGAGUCCCUACUGUGUGCCAGACAUCCUGUGGCUGCAGCAGGGAACAAGCUCUGACUCUCCCACUCUCUUCGUCUGGCCAGGUGAGGGCCAUGCCCACCACUGCACCUUACUGUAGCCAGUGGCUUUGGAAGGAGAGGGGGUGAAAGGCAGAGCAAGAGGUUAGAACAGAGCCUGUUUCACCUCUUCAGAUACUUGAAGUUCAUGUCAGUCUGUCAGGCUCCUAGGCCACGUGCUCUGCUGAGUAUUGGAAAUGGGGGCAUGUGUUUGGCUGGGGACAAUGGCAGUGAUGAGGGUUUAUUGCCAUUUAUUGAAUACUUCUUUAGUGCAAAGCAUCUCAUCACAUCAGAUUCUCUAAUAGAGCUACUGUGUACUGAGCAUGCUAGAGUCAAUUUGCCUUGGGACUCUUGUUUUAGAUAAUACAUUUCAAGCCCAGAGAGGUUAAGUAACUUACUCAAGAUCACACAGGAAGUGUAAACUCAUGAUUUUUGUUUUCUGCUGGUGUUAUUUUAAGCAUUGUAACUUUACUUCAUGUACCUUUUCAAGCAUAUACAAUGGUGUAAUUCAUCUCCUUGAGCCCAUUACCCAGCUGCACUGAUAGUACAGUGACGCACACCAUGGUUGGACCCUACCUGACCCCAGACCUCAAGUCUCCUUUCCUCCCUCAUAAUCAUCCCCAAUCAAAGGACUCAUGAACGCCCCCUGUAGGGCUGGAAGGGAAUUGUGGGGUACUGGGCUAUUUGCUUUGAAAAAUGCCAACUCCCAAACUGCAGAAGCAUAAAUAAUUUUGCUUUUGCUUUUUAAUUCUCUAUCUGGAUUUAGAAAAUGAGUGAGAAACAAAAGGACAUCACACCAACCAGUUUUGUUCAAGAAAAAUCAAUGAGAUUUGUUGUUGUUCUAACUAAUUAAUUAUUCAGGUUUUAGAGCACCCACAAAAGCACAACCCAAAAGGCUCACUAUAAGGUCACUUGCUACCUACAUUGCCUUUGGUAAGUGGCAGGAGGCAGUGGGUACCCUGCAGCCAGUUGUCCCUCUGGGAGUCUUGAGAGGACUGUUCAGCACAGCUCUUGGGAAGUGUCACUAGGGAGUUGGGAGGGUUACUUGGAGCAAGACCAUCUGGUUGAAGCCCAGGUCUACAACUUUGCGCCAGUGGCCUGGGGCAGAGCAGCCUCACUGUGUCCCACAUGCCUGCUGCUGAAGGGCUCAGAGGGCUAGCGCUGCUCAGCUGGGCGGGACAGUGCCUGGCACCUGUCUGCUAGCUGUGGCUCCAGUGCCACCCACCAGGGUCCAGAUGCCCUGCAGCAGGAAGAUCUCAGGGCCUACCUGGCGUGUUCCCACCCAGCUGUCAUGAGACCUCCAGAUGUCACCACCAGAUUGGACCAGAAUUCUCUUACUCUAAUACUAGCCUAAUUUUGCUCUCCUAGGGGAGUCCUGAGGAUUAAAUGAGGGGAUAUACAUACAGCUGGCCGGGGAAGGAGUGCGCAGGAGCUGGAGACGCUGGAGGAGCCUGCUGCGCAGAGAGCCACACCCUGCAUCAGAGCCUGUGCCCUGGUGGAUAGCAGAGGUGGGGUUCGAACCCUUCGUGGCCAGCUACAUGCAGUGCGGCAGCAGCCUGCUCCAUGCUUUGUGCAAAGGACCGCACGGUUGAGGACAGUGAGGCUUGGAAAAGUUAAGCCAUAAACCCAGGCCAUGUCGCUGGUCAGUGGCUGAAUGAGGCUGAAAUAUUAAUGGUAUUUCUAACCACAUUUAGUGCUGGUAUUUUGAAGCUCACACGCGCACACACGUAUACCUUAAACCUACAGAUUCUGAAUUCUUUGGCACUACACGAGUUUGUGUUUUUAGAAGACAGUUGGACAAGUCGCUCCUUUGGCUUCCCUGCUUGUUGCCACAGGCAGUGGUGCAGGAGGACCAGCUUGCAGAGCCCCUGCAUCCCAGCCUCGGGGCCUCGCUUAGGAUCCCUCACUGCUGGCCAGAGCUCCGCGGUGGACACUGCUGGACAAGGGUGCGCCCUGCGCUUUUCCAAACUUACACACUUCAAUAAACCAUCAGUUGUUAAAGGGGGAAACUGGACUUCCUCUAGGAAAUGAUGGCAAGUCGUGUGACAACACAGUUCCGAAGUAGUAGGUGAAUUAAUAGACCAACUUUUGUGCCUAACAGUUAUUAUUUAUAAAACAGCUAAGGAAAUAAAUGCAAUUAGUCUUUAUGUUUGAUGAACAUAUGCUAAAGUACAAAAUAUCACGUGGUCUUCUAGAAAGGAGGGACACUUGUAAAUUUUGAGGCAUGAUGUAAAAGUUAGUGACUUAUGCUAUGACUUCUGUUCCACUGCAGCGGAGGUGUGUGUUUACUAAGAAGACACUCCUACGCCAGCCUGGUUGGUUAUUUUAAACCUGAGCAAGACUAAGUUAAUAAAAUCUGUGUGUUCUUUGAAUGGUUUAUUUCUACACCCCAAUAUAGGGAGAGGUUAUAUCCUUCCCUCUACCUGUACCUCUGUCCCACCCACGAGCAACUGCCCUCCUCCUGUCUUCCACCUGGUGCCAGUUCUUUUGUAUUUCAGGGAAAACAAGUAAUAUUAUUUUUUUUUACUUACUAUAAUUUUUUAAAUAUGCAAAACUAUUGGGAGUCCAUCUUUAAAAGUUAGAUACUUACUAAUGAAGGCAUUUUGUCAUUUGAAAGGACGUCCGUAUGACUAUUCUAUUAAAAUGACUUGUUAUCCUGAUGUGGUUUAACAACAGCAGCAGCAACUAGAGGAUGUGUUAAGACACAGUUCAUGGCACAUGUGAUACGAACUUGUGAUUUCUCUCCUCAGGGUAUUUUAGAAAUGCAAGUAACCCUCAUCUUGAAGUUGCUGGAGAGACCAUCUUGGCUUUGCAAUCUGACCAGGACCAAGAUGUUUCCUUUUUGCCACCCUAGAACCAAGCGACAGAGUCUUCUGGACCCUACUGCACUAGGAAAACAGGAUGGACUCCUCUGGGAAGGUUGUUUCAUGCCUGGCACCUUUGGCUUGUGACCUGAAGGGGAACUGAUUGUAUUUUAUCUGCUGAAGAAGAAAAGAUUUCUGAAACUUCCACAUUGUGCACCCAAAUGACAGACCCCUUUCCUGUCUGAGGCUCCCAGACUGAAUCUUGGUGGGGACUUAAGUGCAGAUGGCUAGGCCUGUGCCACAUUCCCCAGCCCCACAGGCCUGACCCAGGACACCUUGUGGACAGGGUGCAGGCCUGCCAGCAACUUGUUUUGUUCAAGACAGACUAUAUUCGAGUCUCCCCUCCCGAUCGCUUAUUAGAAGCUCUGAAAUCUUUACUGGACUUGCAUAUUUGUUUCCCUUUUGCUUUUAUAUAAAAUAUAGUUUAUGGUGCUAUAUUUAUUUUUAACUGAGAUACUGUACAUAUGUAAAUAUCUUUUUUUAUUUUUAGAUAAGAUCUCACUAAGUUGCUCAAGCUGGCCUUGAACUUGGGAUCCAUCUACCUCAGCCUCCCAAGCAGCUGGGAUUACAGGCGUGCACCGCCAUGCCCAGCUUGUAAAUAGCUCUUGACAGGAAGAAAAUAUAUGAAUGUAAUAUUAGCUUCCUAUCAGUGAACUGAACAAAUAUAUCAUUGAAAUUUAUGCUGCAAUCCGAGUUGCUGCAAACAUAGCCCAGUUUGUUUACUUUUGAAAAAUGUGACAAAGCUACUAAGAAUGAUUUAUGGCAGGCUUUCUACUACUGUGGUUGGGACUUCUUAAGCACUCACCCUCUGCUUCUUUCCGGAACUCUCCUCACAAAGAUGGCGUUGGUGUAAAGCUGAAGGAUUUUUCAUUUUCGUACAGAUAUAUUGUCGAUGUUUAAGAACUUGAGAGGGAAGUAGAUAACUGAGAUGCAUGGAUAUCAACUUUCAUGCUUUAGAAUACUAAAAGAUAGGAAACCAUAGUUCUGAUCAGAACUUGCCCACAAAUACCAGUGAUUCUGGGGGGUUAAAUCAUGUACUCUUCAAAUUGAUGUAAGUACACCGAACUUAGAUUUCAUGCUUUUAAAAUUUAGACUCAAAUGCUUUAGAAUUUAACAGUUUUUUCAUUAGUUAAUAAUUCAAGAUUCUGUAAACAUUUGAUUAAAUUCUGC